CUGUACCCGAUCAGUAUCCCGUUCCACAUCUUCAGGAUUUCUCUGCCAAUCUCCACGAUCAAAAACAUGUAUAAUGUGUUAAACAAUGGAUCAUUCGAUGAAUACAGAUAUUUCAAACACCAAGUCAGAUCAUUAAAGUUCAUACAGAAAGACCUGAUUGAUUAUAGAAAUUGCCCUCUUUGCCCACAAUUCAGUAUUUGAUUUCUUUUUUUGUACUAUUUGCUUUGUGAACUAUUUUAAAUUAUAUGUUUUUUGUCACAUAUAUUAUCAGAACAUUUAAAGUUGUUGUGAAAUAUGAAGUGUUACAUGUUUACCAUAAAA